GAUGAACGCUGGCGGCGUGCCUAAUACAUGCAAGUCGAGCGAACGGACGAGAAGCUCGCGUCUCUGAUGUUAGCGGCGGACGGGUGAGUAACACGUGGAUAACCUACCUAUAAGACUGGGAUAACUUCGGGAAACCGGAGCUAAUACCAGAUGAUAUUUUGAACCGCAUGGUUCAAAAGUGAAAGACGGUCUUGCUGUCACAUAGAGAUGGAUCCGCGCUGCAUUAGCUAGUUGGUAAGGUAACGGCUUACCAAGGCAACGAUGCAUAGCCGACCUGAGAGGGUGAUCGGCCACACUGGAACUGAGACACGGUCCAGACUCCUACGGGAGGCAGCAGUAGGGAAUCUUCCGCAAUGGGCGAAAGCCUGACGGAGCAACGCCGCGUGAGUGAUGAAGGUCUUCGGAUCGUAAAACUCUGUUAUUAGGGAAGAACAUAUGUGUAAGUAACUGUGCACGUCUUGACGGUACCUAAUCAGAAAGCCACGGCUAACUACGUG
rnacentral:rRNA from 1 species